rnacentral:ribozyme from 1 species
GGCAUGUUCUUUUCCGACUUUCGGUGUCGGUCUCAUCAUACCCAGUCUCAUUUUCGUACUCGGUCACAGCAACAGCAGAUGCUAGUGGUACCGACUGUAGUGGUUCCUCUUCGAGC